UGAGACUUUAGUCUUUGCUUUACUUCAGGGUCGUAUCUAUAUAUGAAAACUUGAAAUCGCAUCAUAUGACCCUUUUAAGAUCUGGCCUAAAAUAUCCUUUUUUUUUAAAUAUAAGAUCUGUGGAUAACAGAAGCUCAAGAUAUUUUUUUAUGUUUUAUUCUAGGAGUUAAAAAGCUCAGGCCUGGGGCUAAACAUAGGAAAUUGACACAAUGCAAAGAAAUAAGAAUGACGUCUCAUACAGGACAAUGAUUCAGUCUGUGGAAUAAAGUCUGUGGUUAACACAAGUUCAAUAUAUUGUCACAUUUUAUUUUUAUGAUAUAUACGGUAUUGUAUCAGUGACACUGCCUUGUUAUGUUUUUAAAGCUGUUACUUGUCUUGAAAAAGGCAGUUGCUUACAAAUAGCUAAGUAAGCAAUAAGGUACAAGCGGCUGUGCUGUAUGAAUAAGGCUGCUUCACCUCGUGCCUAACAACACCCUUCAUCCGUGACUAAUUCACAAUAUAGCAUCCCUCGAGUACUUUACUGCUCUUAUAAAAUUCAAGAUAAAGGGCAAAAUACCCGUUUGAAAUUUUGUCUCAUAUUUACAUCAAAUAGUUAAGAAAUAUGACACAAGAAGUAGGCCAAGUGUAAUAUCACACAAGAGCAAGUGUGAUACUCAUCUUACACAACAGUUCAUUAAGAAGUUAAUAUUGUGUUAUUUUAGACACAAUGUUAUCUAUUUUGCAAAAUUUUGACAACCAAAAUAUAAAGCCAAAUCAGAACUGUUCAUCCCCGAGCAACACACAGUGGCAUUUCAUUUCUUAAUCCACGUUUUGAAUGAAUUUGGUGAACCAUUUGGUGUAUUGUACCAUUGGCCAUAGUCGUAGUGGCUUUAAAGUGGUGCUGCACAGACCGUUCAGUGUAUGACAUCAAAGUAUCGUGAGAGCGAUUCAAAAGCACAAGUAGCCGUAACCUCUCUAAGCUCUCACGGUUCUUUGAUGUCACACACCGAUGAGUCUGAUGGUGAUGAUCCACCUCAAGUCGAACAAGUCUAAUGAUUCAGUGAACCAUUCAUAAAGAACCAUUUACUUCACUCCUGAGUUAUUCAGUCAUUUUAAAGUUAUAGUUCACCCAACCAAAAAUGACAAUUCUGUCAUUUACUCGCAUGGUCCAAAAGAGUAUAUGUAAUAAAUUGUAUCAAAAAAAUAUUUCUUGCUGAACCUACUUUUUGUAAUCUCUGUUUGAUGCUUUACACAACGAUGACUUAAAAUGAUCUUCUCAGAGUAAUUUCUCCAAAUUUGAUUAAUUAAUCACCAUAUCAUGUAAUAAAUUAGAUUUAAAAAAUGUAUCGCUUACCAGCCCUAACUGAUAUGCACAUUUCUUUGAGUAAAUGUGUGUGCUUGAGAUCUAUUCACAUGGACUCUGCUCAAUUGCCAAGCCCAGAGACAUGUGCCUGCCUAGUUCUGUAUGGAAGCAUGACGGAAGAACGGGACUGGUCACAUUCCCAGUCUCCCUCCACUUUCUGCCUACCUCAGAGUCUCUGCCAAGCCGCUGAAACCUGUUGACUGAAUAGCUGGGUCUCUCCGAAUACAUCAUUGCCAGUGGCACAGCGAUAGGUUACAGAGACUACCACCUUAGUGCCAAGACACAUUCAACAUGCCAGUAGAAUAAAGUAAUGGCAAAUAUCUGUUAACUCCACCUUGACGUUACUCACACCCAUUGCCCUCUAAUCCCUCAGCAUUAAAACAACAUUAUUAGAAAGACAAUGAAUAACUGAAAAGUGAGAAAAAAAAUUUAUAUCAUGCUAUUGUUGAGUCAAGCUGAAAUUUCAUAAUAGGCAGGCAAUGACAAAUUCCUGAGUGCAGCACAACAAGUCUGUAUCAUUCAAGAGUGUAAUGGUUUCUAGAACAAGUGCGCUAUCAGGCAUGCUCCUGAAAUCCGUGUUUGAUUUCCAACAUGACUGAGACUCGGCAUUGCCUUAUCAGUAUGACAGGAAACAAAAAAAAACAAAACAAAAAAACAAUAGUACUUACACUUUCCAUAGUUUCAACAAAAAGAGGGUGGACCAGUAGAAAACAGUAAUGAUAUUUCACAAAGUAAUUCCUUUGGGUACUGUGCAAAUCUCUUUUAUUGAUUUUAAACAAGUUUCUGCCCUUCCUAAGCAACAGAAGAUACUUGUAUGUUUCCCAGUACACAAAUUAAGUACAAUUUACCUUGAUCUUCAAAUUCCAAAAGUUUUCACCCCCCAGCUCUUAAUGCAUCUUGUUUCCUUCUGGAGCAUCAAUGAAUGUUUGAACCUUUUUAAAUAGUAUUGUUUGAGUCCCUCAAAUGUCCUCAGUCUGAAAAGAUGUAUCUCAAAAUCAUAAAGUCACUGCAGGAAAGGGUUCAAAUAUGUAAAGAUGCUGGAAAACUGAAGAAUCUUCAGGACCUUAAAGAUUUUUCUGAAGAACGCUGCUCAGUUUAACUGUUCAGAACAAACAAAGGACUCAUGCACAACCAUCACAAAACAGAAAGACAGCCAUGGAUCAGCAGGUAACAGAACACAGUACUAAGAACCAAGGGUUCCCAAACUUUUGAGUGGGGUUAUUUUAAUAAUUUCAGCAAUUCUUUUGUCUUGUGGACUAAAUGUUAAUAUCUUUUAUGUACAAUAUCUUACUCAGGACAGUACUAAAUAAAAAAUAACAUGCAUUUAGUA